CCCAUAUAUGUGUCACUAGGACACUAGGAAGACGGGGAGACCUGGGGGACAUGGGGAGACCUAGGGACACAGAGACACCAGAGACAGUGGGAAACUAGUGGACACUGGCUCGGACACAUGGGGCCACUGGGAAAAUAGGGGACACAGACACUAGAGACACUGGCUGGGGGACAUGGGGACAUUGAGACAUGGGGGCACUGGGAGACAUGGGGACACUGAGACACCAGGGCCACAGACACUAGGGACACUAUCUUGGAGACAUGGGGACAUUGAGACACUUGAGGCACUGGGAGACAUGGAGGCACUAGGAUACAUGGGACAGUGAGACACUGGGAGACUAGGGGUCACUGGGAGACUAGGGGGCACUGAGACACCAGGGACACUGGCAGGGGACAUGGUGACACUGGGAGACAUGGG